AAUUUUUUACAACAAAUAUUGAUAGAUCUUAAUUUUGGUAAAUCUUGAAAAUAAUGAAAAUGUGGAGUUCUUUCUCCUGUGACAUUCUUCACUGGGAGAAGGCAGAAAAAAGUACUAUCAGCACUAUAUAAUAAGACCGUUUAUCCUUCUAUCCAGAAGUUCUGUUCUGGAAAUUAGUUAAAUAGGGAGUUUUGAGGCCUGGUGAAGAUGCAAGAUAAACUUAUCACAUUCCUGAUCAAAGCACUCUUUUAUUACCUAGUGUAAAUGGAACAGAUUUUGCGUGGUGACGGAAGAUAAGAUCAUUGUAUGUAGACACUGACUUCCUAAAGAAAUAGUUUGGAUACUGGAGUGUGGUUUUAUACUUUUGAGAACCUCAUAGCAGAGCUGACUUGACAGUUUUAAAAACCACUGACUGCCUUAGAAACCUGUUUUAAAGGAGGUCAGAAAUGCCAGAUUUGAGCUCACUGGUAAAUUCAGCUAUUACACCCUGUAACUGUCUGCUUAUACAAAUGCAAUGUAUUCAUCCUGCUGAUAUAAAUUAUUUACUAGAAAAGGUAGAAAGUAUAAAGUAUAACUUGGAGUUUCUCUACUGUGUGGCAAUGAAUAGAAAUUCCUCGAUUUAUUAUUUUUGUCAGUAGUUAAGUUUGAUCUUCACUAAGGAUGCUUUGCAGCCAAUAUUGCAUUUUUAAAGUAGAUCAGCACACAUAAACAGUGUAAACUGAAAACUGUAGUAAGAAAUUCUGUUUACAGUACAAAAUGCUGCUAACAAUUUCUGAAUAUAUAUUGUUUUACAUCUUCACAGUUUUCUCAUUUAUUACAGCAAGAAACCUUGUGCUGGGUGGGAGAAUAAGAGCAGAAUGAUUGAUACCUCUGUUCUUUGAUUUGAGAUCAUGAAACUGUUAUGUUUUAGGUACAGCAAUUAGCUGCUUCUGACAUCUGCAACUUCCUGGCUCUUCACCAGAAGAAAUUGUUUUCAGCUGAAAUGCUCAGAUGCACUGAACCUAAUCUACCUUGAGACUUAGUUACGAACAUCAGUAAUGUAAAUACCAUUCAGCCACCAGCUGUAAGUGGGAUGUGAAAAACAUUGAUACAGAAAUCAUUGAGGGAGAGCAAAAAAAACCACACACACAUAGAAAAACAAACAAACAAACAAACAUUUCAAAACCUGCUGGCCAUCCAUGAAAUUUUCUUCCUGUUGUUCAGAUGAUGUGCACCUGUUUUGAGCUGAAUGCUUAAGGACAUACAAGCAGAUUCUGUACUUAAGCUUGAAGGCAUUCUGAAGAACUUUUCAAGGCUAUACGGAUAGAAAUAAUUUUCUGCAGGUAGAAGAUAGAAAAAUAUGGAAGUGCUUCUCUUACAGGAGUUGAAUAUUUCUUCCAGAUAGCAGUACUCAGUUUUUAGAGGAACGCUACAGAUUAUCCUUUUUUUUCUUACUUGAUUGUAAUGUGGUCAAGAAAUCAAGACUGGAGAGCAGCCUAAGUAGAUAAUAGAUGACACUUGUAUAUUUCCAAAUAAAAGAAAAUAGGGAGAGAGCUCUAUUUUAUUUUAAUUUUUUUUGUCUCCAGAACAGAAUAUUAGUGAAGAGUAUUUUCUCUGGGACUCUGCCAAUUUCAAUAAAUUACCGUUUGAAUUUAGCUGUUGCCUGGAGAUAUUUGAUAACUCAUGUUUCAACAUUAAAUAGUGAUUAAAAAAUCUAACCAAGUGUGGCAUUAUCCUACAGGAAAUGCAAUGUGUUGAUCUUCUAACUGCUGCUUGAAUGCAUGGGCAUUAAUCUCUCAUUUCUUUCAGAAGUGGGGAUCCUUUUAACAGGAUACUAAGUCUGACUCUCAUUCUGUAGCUUAUGUAUAAUAUUCAAAAAAUUAAUAUCACUUUACAGAACAAUGCUGAUCAGUACAAAGGCUCAUUCACUGAAUUUAUUUACUGAGUCAAAUCAGAGCUGAAAAUGAAGUUUAUGGCAAAAUAAAACAAUUCUAUAUUUAGAAAGUAGAAGUCGUCUCUUUUAAUGAGAUGAUAAAAUUUUAACAAGUUUAUAUCCCUUUAAUUGUUUGUAGGAUCUUAACAAUGACUACUUACAUUGUUGUCAGACUGAAAAUUACUGAACUAGAUAAUUAGAAAAAGUAAGGUAAGAAACCAUGAAAGGAAAAACUCUGCUCUGUCCAAAGGCUAAAGGUAGCUUUUUUCCCCAUCCUAUUGAAUGACACUGAUAUUUUACUCGAAAGGCUUUUAUUUUCUUCUAGAAGUUACGCAUAUGAUAUUCAUAACUACCUGAAAUAACCUCAUCACUAAAUAGAAUUGACACUUUCCUUCCAGGUUCACAAAGCUUGACGCAACACUUCAGUUGUAUUCAAAAAUUAUCAUGAAAUCAUUUUUAAGUAUUUUGUUUUGUAGAUGGUUUUCUAAGUUGCCCUGGCUGAUUGCAUAAAAGUGGUGUCUGGAAUUCCCACUAGAAGCUACCCUCUAUUAACAGAGAUGAAAAACAGUCUGAAAUGUUAUGCUUUCUUUCUCCCUGGUACAGUUCAAACAAUAGAUAGUACUGUAUGAAACACAUAAAAGAUUGUUAUGGAAAAAUAAGUAGGUAUGCUCUGCCAAACAAAUCACAGCGGGCACUUCAAGCAAAUUUAACAAGUAGGUGGAAUAAAUAUGGUGCCAUAUCAUAAAUAUUUGAUGACACCACAGGCCCCUACAUACUACUUCAUGAAUUUUUAAAUGUGUGCAAUUUUCCACUCCAAUAAUUUAAAAUGAAAAAUGUUUUACCUUUAGAGGAAAUUAGUUAAAGCGCUGAAAAAAUGUUGUAAGAAUAAUAAAUACAAAAAGAUUUAUUUGAAUAUAAAACCAAUUUACACAACAUUGUUAAGUGUUUUAAGUAGAAAAGCAUGUAUGCAAUUAAGAAGUGCAAACUCCCUUGACUCGAUUAGGACUUCUUGAAUUGCACUGAUGUUUUAGGAAAUGCUUCACACCGAUAACAAAAUGUAUUUACGUAGGAGUUCUGAAAAUACUGAAAAUACAGAGGUCCUGAAAAUACAAAGCACAUCGAGACUUUCACUGAGUGAAUAUAAAACAGAAUUCAGCGAAAAGCAAGUUGAAAUGGCUGGCUGGUGCCUCCAUUAUUGUGUAAGAGUUUUAUGUAUUUCCAACUUCAAGUACUUACGUUGAAAACAGAUUGUGAUGAGCCUAUAUAAAGUUUAUUCUCCUUGGUGGAAGUAAUUUUUUUAUAACUUAAGAAGCGGAGAGACAGUAAUCACUUUCCAUUUACUAAUAUAAUAAAUUUUUAUAAGAAAUUGAUUAGAUAUUAUAUUGCAGAUUUGAUUUUUCUGUUUAAGAGAAAGUAAGGAUUUUCUUAAGACAGUGAGAAUCUUACAUCUCAGAGCUGAUAAACAGAACCUAAGAGAGUUUGUAGUCUCUGUGAAAUUAUAGACAGUGGGGGUCAUGGAAGCAAUCAGUACUGGCUGGCUGUGUAAACAAUUAUUUCAGUAUGUCAGACCUGAAUGUUUAAGUAGAGUUCAAAUGAGAAUAAAUAGUUACAUCACCAUAUGAGAAAACACAGAAGAACCUGAAAGUGUAAAGCAGUUCAGGAUGGAAGGAGUGCUUUGAGGCCCUCAAGUCCAACCUCCCUUCUGUCUGUUGGUAACAGGCUCUAGAAAUUAAGGAAAUUUUGAAAGAAUUUUGCUGAAUUAAGGUAUGUUGAUUGCAGGAAAAGUCUAGUUCUUCUAGUAAAGACUUUUUUUUUAAUGUUCAGUGUAAAAACAAAACAAAACAAACAAAAACCCCCAAACCAGUGAAAGAACGCAGAGGAGCAUGUACGUGGUUGAGUGAGUGAACUAGAAACUCACUUGAUCAUUUUGAAUGGGUAGAAAACAAUUAACUCAUUUAACAAUUAACUCACUGUUUGGCAGUACCAGACCCUGAGGUGCUGUAGUUUUCAAAGUAUGAAAUGGGGAGAUGGUCAGAGGCCAUUACUAGUGGUAGCAUGCCAAAAGGUCCACAGUGGGUGGUGGAGGUAUAGCCUCAUGGUGAGAAGAGUGACAUUACAAACAGUGAUUGGGAAAGUAUUAGGGAUUAUUGCAGAGUUUGCGAUAUUACUACCUGGUCAUGUUCACCUUCAGGUGAUGUCUAGACUAUGUGCGGACAACUCAGGGGCAGAGAGUAAGAUGUCAUACAAACUAAGUAGCACAUAAAAGCUUCCAAAUCAUACUUUAAAAUCUUGUCCUAGUGGAAUUUAUUGUUUAGAUUUUUAUUGAAUGAUAAUUUUCCUGCUCUGCGGUAGAACUAAUAAUUAAAAGUUUGACAUAGAGUUGAAUAAAUAUUUUACACCUGUCAACUAAUGCAAUGCAAGAAUCGAGAAACAGCUCUGAAGUUUGUCUUAGCACAUACUAUUCCAUUAAAGCACUAAAUUAUGAUAUUAUUCACGAGCUUUCAUUUUCUGCCCAUUGUAAACUACUUUUUUUCCUACAAGUCCAUAUACUUCCAGCUCGUGAUUUCUGGCAUGUGAAGGUGAGAUGUACUGACUAUAUGUCAAGUGUGACAUAUAGUUAGCCGAUGAUAGUGACUAUUGACUCACUUAAAAAUAUUUCCAGUCUAUGAUCACGUCAAGAGAAAUCUGUAGAUUUCUUUAUUGUUUUUUUUUUGUCAAGAACAGAUAGAAUUUGGAUUUUUUUGAUAUCCUUUUGGAAAAUGUGAAAAUGUUGUUCAAGUUGGUGUUAUCUUUCUAAAUUUUUUAAUAAAAAAAAAUUGAGGAUUUCCUUUUAAAAAAUUACAUUUUUAAGAAAUGUAAAUUACACUGCAUGUGUGUAUAUAUAAGUAUAAAUAACUAUAUUCCUAUCUAUUCUCCACUAUUAUGUUAGCAAACAGCUUAAAUCUAUUUGCAGGUAAAUGAUGAAUGAGUAGGCAUCUUUUUGCAAAGGAGUUAGUGUAUCUUGCAUAAGAAGCUUAUAUAUUACUGCUACAAAUGUUUAAAAGUUGAGAAAAAAAUAAGAAAGCAAGAAGUCUUCUCAAUAUCUAGAGAAGGAUUAGGACAUAAAGUAUAGUAAUAUUUUACUUUUAUUCAUAGCUUCAAUUGCGUUUCUACUUUUAUUAUAAGAUUGGUGAACAAAUGAACAGUAGCCAUUAAAAAUCAAAUUAAUUAGAAGUUAAAUAUAAUUUGUACCUUAAAUUGUGUCCAACACUGACUGUUCUACUAUAGCACAGAAAAUAAGUACUUCUCAAGCAUUUUGUCUAUGCUGGUUUUUAAAUACUACAUUUUUUGAUACCUGCAUUCUUAACCUAUUUCAGGUAUCUUUUGUGUUAUGUCCUCUAUGAUGUCAAAUCUGCUGCUAUAAGUUCUCUGAUUUCAGUUUUUACAAAAAAAAAAAAAAUUAAGUUUUUGAGUUCAAUAUAGCAUCUGGAAACUGUUGAGCAUUUGAAAACAUGAACAGAACGUUUUUGACCUUCCUAUGAAAACAGCAAAAUACCAUCUGCAGAGAGCAAAAAUAUUUAUUCUUUCAUCCCUAGCAACAGGUUUCAUCAGGACAUAUGGGUUGCUAACAGCCCUCAAAGCUGUGAAAGAGGAAGUAUUUGAAGGUUUUUUAAGAUUGGGAAUUUGAUGAACAGAUUAAUGUUUGUUUGUUACUUUCAAUGAAUACAAUCUUGGCUUGCUGUUUUAUCUGAUUACAGUAUAAAUCAGAUGGUAGGCAUGGCAAUCUUUGCUUUCUUUUAUUUUUAUAUUGUUUUCUUACUAUUAUUUAUUGGCAGAAUUACUGAUAAUCAAAGUCAAUAGAUGGUCACUCUUAGUCUGUGAUUCUUUUCAUAUAACCCACAUUAACAUAAAAUAUCCAGAGAUAGAUUAUAAUAUAAUAUACGACCUGUAAUGGGCAGUAACUAACCCACGUGAAAGAAAUCAAUAAUACAGUUGCCUUGCUUCCUUCAUGCUUUUUAAAAGUGAUUCAGUUGAAAAAGAUUCAAAUGUUUUCAAGCAUGUAUGCCCGGUAGUGGAUGGCAAGGGGCAGCGUUUCUACUCUGAUACUUUCCCUUGCUUUCCCAAUGCCCUGCUGGAGCUAGCUGUCUCGAUCCAAUUUAUUGGAGGGAGAGGAGGUUCUUUGAAAUAUGUAUACCCGACGUGAGAUUAAGAAAUAACGGUUUAAAAGUUAGUCCGAUCAGUGUAUUACAAAUCUCAAUCAAUCAGAGAGAUGGGGAAGGGGAGGCCGGCGACUAUUACGAAUCAGGUUGAUGGGGAGGGGAAAGCGGGCGAUAGGAAAGAUAGGAAAGAAGCAAGAAUUGCGUAAAGCGGGGAUAAUCACGACCAGGAUCCAGCAGCGUCCCGUUGCACGACGUUCCGACGCAAAAGCGCAGGGGAGAGCAGCAGCAGCGUGGCCGGUCUUAAGCAGCAAGCAGGUACCAGGAAGGAGCGGCAGGCAACAUGGUGCAUCCACUUUGCUGUCCCUGGCAUGUGUUACACAGAGUCGCAGAAUCAUAGAAUGCUGUUGUUUGUUAUCUUUGUUAUCCCCAGCGCAGUUUUGGCUCAUCUUCUGCGGCUGUAAUCUUUUGACUAAUGACUGACCACUAGUAAGUAGCACGGUUCAGUUUAUAACCUUUGGGUCUUGGUUAGCAAUCUAUGAUCGUACAUAGAGGGCUCCCGCUAUUAUCCCACAUCUGUAUUCACCUACAUUGUGCUUUAUGCUGCAGUCAAAUGUAGUUCAUUCUGCGCAUGAUGAAUAGUUGCAAUCACUUGUCAUGUCCUACAAAACUUGUGUAUAAAAGGAGAUGUUACAGCGUAUACUGGUACUAAGCUAAAGACAAGCUAAAACAAAUUUGGCAGUAAUCACUAGUGCGUUGGCUGCUAUUACAAGCUAAAUCAGUUUCAGACAGUUGAAGACAAGCCUAGACAACAUCUGAUACAUCCUGAGGCCCACAGAGCUCAAUAACGGGCUGGUACCAG
ensembl:lncRNA